rnacentral:rRNA from 1 species
AUUGAACGCUGGCGGCAGGCUUAACACAUGCAAGUCGAGCGGAACGAUGAUAGCUUGCUAUCAGGCGUCGAGCGGCGGACGGGUGAGUAAUGCUUGGGAAUAUGCCUUUUGGUGGGGGACAACAGUUGGAAACGACUGCUAAUACCGCAUACGUUCUUCGGAAGAAGGAGGGGAUCUUCGGACCUUUCGCUAUUUGAUGAGCCUGCGUGAGAUUAGCUUGUUGGUGAGGUAAUGGCUCACCAAGGCGACGAUCUCUAGCUGGUCUGAGAGGAUGAUCAGCCACACUGGGACUGAGACACGGCCCAGACUCCUACGGGAGGCAGCAGUGGGGAAUAUUGCACAA